CGUUAUCUUUUUCUCUUUUUUGUCAUUUUAGUUUCUACCUUCUGCAGGAUGAAGACUUGUAUUGUCGCCCUUCUUGUCGUCCUGUGUCUGACGUCAGCAAUAUGUAACGCUUCUCGUUUCUGUGGUAACGGGUUGACUGCCUGUGGUCAAAUAAGCCGAAUAAAACGGAUUCUCUGUGGAGGACUCACCGCAUGUGGAGGGGACUUAACCCGAGAAAAAAGAGAGAUAAGGGACAACGUUAACAUGAAAGCAUUUUCUCCCUGAAACGAAAAAGAAAUAAGUGAAGCUAACGCUGAUGGAAUAGAGUCUUGUACAGAUUUGUGUAUGAAUAACUGUAUAUCGUUUGAAUUAAAGAUUACUUGUUAU